UACGGACGUGGGAGACCCUGGGCCAACCCGCUGCAGGUCCAGGCUGGCAGCUGCUUCGGUAAAUUCCUCCAGUGAGGUGGAUCGGAUCCUGGUACGGACGAUGACACCAGGGUGGAAGAGAAGUUACUGACAGCUGCUCCUUCUUCAUCUCUUUCUUCAGAAGAAUCCCAUCCAGCAGAGGCGGUUUCCAUGUUUCAUAAUUACUCCUCCUCCAAGGAAGACCAAAGAAGCUGACGGUAGCACAAUCCCAUGACUGCUCAUCUUGGAAGUGAUGAGAUUCCCACCAGCAGUGCCUGAGGGACCCAGUUUCUCUGCACCCUCAUCAGCAUUUGGUGAUGUCACUAUUUUAUUCUAGCCAUAUC